rnacentral:rRNA from 1 species
GACGAACGCUGGCGGCGUGCUUAACACAUGCAAGUCGAACGGAUAGGCCCUGCUUUUGUCUGGUUUUCGCGUGGCGAACGUGUGUGUUACCCGUGAGUCACCUUCCUUUUACUUUGUGAUAUCUUCAGGCAACUGCUGCUAAUACCUGCUACGUGCUCCUGCUGCAUGGUGGGCUUUGGAACUUUUCGGCGGUUGUGGAUGGACUUGCGGCUUAUGAGCUUGUUGGUUGGGUAGUGGCUUACCCAGGCUUUGAAGGGUAGCCGGCAUGAGAGCGUGACCGGCCACAAGGGGACUGAGGGACGGAGCAGACUCGAACGGGAGGCAGCAGUGGAGAGUAUUGCACAAUGGGGGGAAGCCUGAGGCAGCAACGCCGCGAGCGGGAUGAAGGCCUAGGGGGUGUAAACCGCUGUAACCUGUGACGAAGCGGGAGUGACGGUAAUAGGUAAAGAAGCACCGGCUAACUACGUG